GGGGAUUUAGCUCAGCGGCAUAGGCGCCUGCCUUGAAAGCAGGCAGUAUGAGUUCAAUCCCUG
rnacentral:tRNA from 1 species